rnacentral:rRNA from 1 species
UACGGGGGGAGCAAGCGUUGUUCGGAUUUACUGGGCGUAAAGGGCGCGUAGGCGGCGUAACAAGUCACUUGUGAAAUCUCCGGGCUUAACCCGGAGCGGCCAAGUGAUACUGUUGUGCUAGAGUGCGGAAGGGGCUACUGGAAUUCUCGGUGUAGCGGUGAAAUGCGUAGAUAUCGAGAGGAACACCGAUGGCGAAGGCAGGUCUCUGGGCCACUACUGACGCUGAGAAGCGAAAGCAUGGGGAGCGAACAGG